rnacentral:rRNA from 1 species
AUGGGCAACUGCCAGGCGGCCGACGCGGCGGCGGUGGUGAUCCAGCACCCGGCCAGCGGCCGCACGGAGCUGGCCUACUGGUCGCUCCCGGCCGGGGAGGUCAUGGCCGCCAACCCGGGCCACUACGUCGCCGCCGUCAUCACCGCCCCGCACACCGCCUCCGAGGGCGGUGGCGCCGCUCCCGUGAAGCACCUCAAGCUGCUCCGCCCCGACGACACGCUCCUGCUCGGCCGCGUCUACCGCCUCGUCAGCUUCGAAGAGGUGCUGAAGGAGUUCGCGACGAAGCGGCACGUCAAGCUCAGCCGCGUCAUGGUCAAGGCCAAGGACGAGGUGGCCGCGCCCACGAAGCCGGCCAAGCCCAGGCGCCGGCGUGGCAGCAACGGCGGCGGCGGCGCCGACGCCGGCGUCGUGCGCGAGGAAUCCGACCGGUCGCUCGCAAAGAUCAUGCGCCAGUCGGUGGAGGAGGAGAAGGAGGCCACGGCUGGACCGACCUCCGGCCGCGUGCCGAAGCCAGGAGCAAACGACAACAAUGGCGUCGCGGCGUCCGAGCCCGGCCUCGACGACGACGACGACGACGACUGCGACCUGGAGUCGCUGCUGCCUCCCGGCCUGGCCCUCGGCAGGCGGCUCGGCCCGCAGUGGCGGCCGGCCCUGCAGAGCAUCGCGGAAGGGCGAGACUGA